rnacentral:rRNA from 1 species
AUUGAACGCUGGCGGCAGGCCUAACACAUGCAAGUCGAGCGGAUGAAGGGGGCUUGCUCCUGGAUUCAGCGGCGGACGGGUGAGUAAUGCCUAGGAAUCUGCCUGGUAGUGGGGGAUAACGUCCGGACACGGGCGCUAAUACCGCAUACGUCCUGAGGGAGAAAGUGGGGGAUCUUCGGACCUCACGCUAUCAGAUGAGCCUAGGUCGGAUUAGCUAGUUGGUGGGGUAAAGGCCUACCAAGGCGACGAUCCGUAACUGGUCUGAGAGGAUGAUCAGUCACACUGGAACUGAGACACGGUCCAGACUCCUACGGGAGGCAGCAGUGGGGAAUAUUGGACAAUGGGCGAAAGCCUGAUCCAGCCAUGCCGCGUGUGUGAAGAAGGUCUUCGGAUUGUAAAGCACUUUAAGUUGGGAGGAAGGGCAGUAAGUUAAUACCUUGCUGUUUUGACGUUACCAACAGAAUAAGCACCGGCUAACUUCGUG